AAGACUAUACUUUCAGGGAUCAUUUCUAUAGUUUUUAACUAGGAAAUGUGUUUCGAAAGAGUUGCGUCUUCCAAACCACGAUGAUGAGUGAGAACGCACUUCUCUGAGCGUGAAUCGGGUAGUGAACGGUGAUAUAUUCACGGAACGCUAUCAUUGAUGAACGUUCAUUGAUUCUUUAUGAAUCUGUGAGGAGAAGUGCGUGAUCCGAGUGGUU
ensembl:snoRNA